rnacentral:rRNA from 1 species
AACGAACGCUGGCGGCAGGCUUAACACAUGCAAGUCGAACGGGUGUAGCAAUACAUCAGUGGCAGACGGGUGAGUAACACGUGGGAACCUUCCUAGGGGUACGGAACAACUCAGGGAAACUUGAGCUAAUACCGUAUACGUCCGUGAGGAGAAAGAUUUAUCGCCCUUAGACGGGCCCGCGUCGGAUUAGGUAGUUGGUGGGGUAACGGCCUACCAAGCCUACGAUCCGUAGCUGAUCUUAGAGGAUGAUCAGCCACACUGGGACUGAGACACGGCCCAGACUCCUGCGGGAGGCAGCAGUGGGGAAUCUUGGAGAAUGGGCGCAAGCCUGAUCCAGCCAUGCCGCGUGAGUGAAGAAGGCCUUAGGGUUGUAAAGCUCUUUUACCAGGGACGAUAAUGACGGUACCUGGAGAAUAAGCCCCGGCAAACUUCGUGCCAGCCGCCGCCGUAACAC